GGAUUAGAUACCCUGGUAGUCCACGCCGUAAACGAUGGAUACUAGCUGUUCGGAUUUAUCUGAGUGGCUAAGCGAAAGUGAUAAGUAUCCCACCUGGGGAGUACGUUCGCAAGAAUGAAACUCAAAGGAAUUGACGGGGGCCCGCACAAGCGGUGGAGCAUGUGGUUUAAUUCGAUGAUACGCGAGGAACCUUACCAGGGCUUAAAUGUAGUCUGACAGGACUGGAAACAGUUUUUUCUUCGGACAGAUUACAAGGUGCUGCAUGGUUGUCGUCAGCUCGUGCCG
rnacentral:rRNA from 1 species